GGUCACAAAAUUAAUAAACGAGGAUCAAUAUUAGAUAAUAUCAAAAAUAUAUAUAUAUAUAUAUGAAACUAGUUAUAUUUUCAAAAUCUUGCAAAGCUACACAGAAGAGCAUUUUAUCUUGAGACUGAUAAAAACUAACAGUUUAAUCUAAAGAUGUCAAUUACCAAAGAAGAAGAUUUGAACAAUUUAAAAAUAUAUGACAAAAGCUAAAAACUAAAAUUUAAAGAACACAAGCUAAAUACAUUAAAUAGUAUGCUAUAUCUAGACAACUAGAAAUUAACUUGCCUAUAACUUGGCUAAUUAGUAUAGCCAAGUCAUGAUCUUCACUAUUUUCUUUAGAUAUUAACAUUGUGUGAAUCAAAUUUUCUUACUAAGAUCAUGAAUGUGUAUGACAGUGUAUUAGUUGAAUGUCCAGUGUAAAUUAAGUCAAUCUAGAGUUGACUUGACUGUGGAAAACAGUUGAAUUGACAGAUUUAGUUGAUUGUAUUGAAAUUGAUAAAGAUAAAUAUCAAAAAAAUUUGUAAUGUAUUUUGAUCUUGAAUAAUUAUCAUGUGUUGAAACAUUGAAUGGUUUUCAAUACAAACAGUACAUUUAACUGAAUACUUUUAGAUAUUGUACUUUAGUCUUAAUACUAAGAUUUACUCUUCCCCAAUGAUCCACAAUUGAAUUCAGCAUACUUCAUAAAGUUUGUAUGAACCAAAAGAGCCCUACUUUUAAAGGAUAUUAUGUCCAUAGCUUUUACUUUUUAGGGGGAUAUGAUCAAGGAAAGAACAGAUUUAUAUAAAUGUGUUGGACAAUAAUCAAGGCAAAUCUGAUCCACAAUGCUCACCCCUAUGUUACUUUCAUUCGUCUCAUAACCAACAAAUGCACAAACGCAAUAAAAUAUCCACAAAGAAAAUAUAUGAAACAAGAGUUUUUCCAAUUUUGGGGCCACAUAAAAGCACAUAAAAUACAGUAUAUGGACUAAAAAAAAAUACAAAAUUAGAGUGUAUAUAGAGGCUAAUUUGCAUAUAAGUGGUUAUUGACAGCCCUGUCCCAAACCAAAAAUUGCAAGCUUAAACUCAAGCCACAUCUUGACCCAGCAAAUGAUUAGACCUACAUUCCAAACCUAAAUGGUAAUGACAAAAGAAAAGAAAAGAAAACCUAAGAGAACCAAAUAAAUCAAGCCAACAAUAAAUAAUAACAUCAUGCUUUUGCAUGAUUAACAGGCUUGCCUGCUAACAACCAGGCAUUGCAGACUUCAUCAGAGACGUCUCCUAUAGGAUGUCCAAAUCAAAGAGUGUGGACCAGUUUCCAGAUACUCUCUAAAAUCCACUUUUAUUUCACCCAUCUUUCUCUAAAAUCCAAAAUCCCACAAAGUCUAAUUUCAUUAUGAUGACACACUCAAAUGGAAUGGCUCUCUCCUUCAGGCAAGGAGGAGAAUAAGGGGUGUUUAAAGGACAACCACCAGCUAUGAAGAACAGAGAAACAAAUUAUGGAAGACCCCACAAAUAAAUUGAACAAGAACAAAAGAAAAGAGACAGAAAUUAUAAGGGGGCUAACAGAAUUGACCCUACGGAGAGAAAAAAGAUCCCGAGGCCAUGGCUGAUUAAAGAGAAUGAAACUGUGGGGAACAGUCAUUGGGGCAUUUCAACAAAUACAUUUCAGCAAAUACAGAUGUGGGGUUUUCUGGAGCUUACCAUUGCGACGUCAGAACAGAGCAGAGUGCUGUAUCAGUAUCAUUUGCCUUACAUAUAAUAUAGCGAAAUUGUGAGCAAUGGCUGAUUAUAGACAUGGGAAAUGGAAAUUUUUACUCUUUGUUUGAAGACCGACAUGCUCUAAUCUAUGCACGCAUCCAAAUCUAGGGGAGUUCUCUGUUCCCUCCUUCUAUUUGUCCUUAUGCAUGAUUUUUAACUUUGCAAUACAUCGAGGACAAUUUAUUUUUCUAAAGUUAGGGGUGUGUGCGAUGCAUGCCUAUUUGUCUUUUUCAUAUAUGCUCCAUUUUUGGUGUUGCUUAAUACUUGAUAUAGAGUGAGAUAAAAUUGCUAAAUUCUUUUUUAUCGAUAAUGAUAGAUUCAUUGCUUGAUGUUUAAUGAAUGGAUUUGUUCGCUCAAUUUUUAAUUUCCUUUUCAUGAAAGUCAAUUAUACACUUAUUGAGUUUUAUUCCUUCAAUAAGAGAAAUUCUUUCAUAAUUUUGAGCUCAUUCUAAAAAUCUUUUCUUGAAAACUCAUUCUAAUGAAACUAGGCUGAAUUUUUUUUCAAAAUCCUAAAAAUCUUAUAAACGGAUUAUCCUUCUCAUAUUUUUGUUGUCAUCUCGAAAGGCCUACCUUUAACUUAGGAGUAACAUUUUGUGCCUUAGAGAAGAGCUAGACAAUGAGGAAAGAAACGGACCUAGUGUGUAAUUGAAAAAUAAUAAUGAUGAUGAAAAAAAAAAGAAAAAAACUGCUAGAAAAAAUGAGGCAAAUGCUAACUUGCCUGCAAUAAGAAAAAUAAGUGUACGUGUGCAUGGAUGGAGGUGAAAAGAGCUACCUCUAUCGUGUCAAGUUAAGGUCCCAUGAGAAAAGAGUGGUUAGGUUCUCGAUGCUUAAGUGUGAAAACUAGCCCUCUAGGUAAAAGAAAUGCCUUCUAAGUGUUGUGUGUGUGAGUUUUAGGCACCUUUACCUAAGUGUUGCCCUCUAUUUUGAAAGAAGGGUAUGUCUUAAGCCGAUAAUUGAGCAAGAGUAGAGGGAAGAUGAAAUGGGAUUUGGAUAAAAAUUUUCUAGACUUUCUUUGAUUUUAAAAAUUCCAAGGUCAACAUUUCAUUUAUACAUCUUCUUGAUUGCAAAAGAAUCUUUUGCAAUGAGUUUCAAAUAAGUGCUUGAAUUCGGUUCAUGAGAUGAUUACUUGCAUAGCUCGAAGGACUGUUAAGACUUGAGUUCGAAAUCGUUUAAUAGAGUGAACAGUAACUUGUUUAGUGCAUAAUUAUAUGUCGUAGCCUUGCUCGGGAUGAUCAAGAGUUAAGUUGGGGGUGUUUAUUAGCUCUCAAAAAGAGUUAAUAUUCUCUCCUUAAUUCCACUAUAAUUGAGUAUUUCUUAUGUAUAAAAUUUCUAUUUUGUAGGUAAGUUGAUCCUGAGGAGCUAAAAGUUCAUUCAGAAGCAAAACAAGCCAAAAAUGAGAAAAUUUGGGAGUUGGAUGCAUCAAGUUGGAAGAAGUUAGAAAAAUUACAAAACUACCAUCAAAGGUAGCAUUACAAUCCUCCCUUGACCCUCACGUGACGUUGAAAGGCAGUAAGCACCUCUUUCAAGACAUGAAUACAACAUUGCAAUGCCCCUGCAACACUUCCGCGUGACGCUAUAAAGCAGUAGUAUCAAGUCCAUGGCAGUGUUGCAAUAUUGGCCAGAGCGUCGCAACGCUACAAAUAUUAAUGGACAUUCAGCAUCCGUGUGCGCGCAACACACCGUCACGCCAGUGCCACGCCUCCACCCUGACACUUGAGGCCUGUUUUUACAAGAGUGUCACAAUGCUCUUGCCAGCGUUGCGACACUGUGAUCGUGAUAUAAAAAGAAAUUUUCAAUUUCGGCAAAAAUUGUGACAAAUUGGGGUUGCAAUUGAGAGCGAUUUUGAGAACUUUUCAUCAAUUUUUCACCAUUCUUUCUUCCAUCCCUCAAUUCUUUUCAUAUUACUUUCAAUUUCCCAAACAUUGUAUGUUGAUUUAAAACAAUGCAAGGCUAGGUAA